rnacentral:rRNA from 1 species
CCUACGGGUGGCCGCAGUGAGGAAUAUUGGUCAAUGGCCGUGAGGCUGAACCAGCCAAGUAGCGUGAGGGAAGACUGCCCUAUUGGUUGUAAACCUCUUUUAUGCGGGGAUAAAGUGUUCCACGUGUGGGUGUUUGCAGGUACCGCAUGAAUAAGGACCGGCUAAUUCCGUGCCAGCAGCCGCGGUAAUACGGAGGGUCCGGGCGUUAUCCGGAUUUAUUGGGUUUAAGGGGAGCGUAGGUGGGUCUUUAAGCUUGUAGUGAAAUUUUGUGGCUCAACCAUGAGAUUGCAGUUGGAACUGGAGACCUUGAGUGCGCGGAAGGCAGGCGGAAUUCGUGGGGUAGCGGUGAAAUGCUUAGAUAUCACGAAGAACUCCGAUUGCGAAGGCAGUCUGCUGGAGUGUAACUGACGCUGAGGCUCGAAAGUGAGGGUAUCGAACAGGAUUAGAUACCCGAGUAGUC